CCUACGGGCGGCAGCAGUGAGGAAUAUUGGUCAAUGGGCGUAAGCCUGAACCAGCCAAGUCGCGUGAGGGAUGAAGGUUCUAUGGAUCGUAAACCUCUUUUAUAAGGGAAUAAAGUGCGGGACGUGUCCCGUUUUGUAUGUACCUUAUGAAUAAGGAUCGGCUAACUCCGUGCCAGCAGCCGCGGUAAUACGGAGGAUCCGAGCGUUAUCCGGAUUUAUUGGGUUUAAAGGGUGCGUAGGCGGCUUUUUAAGUCAGCGGUGAAAGUCUGUGGCUCAACCAUAGAAUUGCCGUUGAAACUGGGAGGCUUGAGUAUGUUUGAGGCAGGCGGAAUGCGUGGUGUAGCGGUGAAAUGCUUAGAGAUCACGCAGAACACCGAUUGCGAAGGCAGCUUGCCAAGCCAUGACUGACGCUGAUGCACGAAAGCGUGGGGAUCAAACAGGAUUAGAUACCCGGGUAGUC
rnacentral:rRNA from 1 species